rnacentral:rRNA from 1 species
UACAGAGGGGGCAAGCGUUGUUCGGAAUUACUGGGCGUAAAGGGCGCGUAGGCGGCCUUCUAAGUCGAACGUGAAAUCCCCGGGCUCAACCCGGGAACUGCGUCCGAUACUGGAAGGCUUGAAUCCGGGAGAGGGAUGUGGAAUUCCAGGUGUAGCGGUGAAAUGCGUAGAUAUCAGGAGGAACACCGGUGGCGAAGGCGGUGAUCUGGGCCGACACUGACGCUGUAGAGCGAAAGCGUGGGGAGCGAACAGG